rnacentral:tRNA from 1 species
GUGGGUGUAGCUCAGUGGUAGAGCACGUGCUUGGCAUGCCCGAAGUCCUGGAUUCAAUCCCCAGUACCUGCA